rnacentral:rRNA from 1 species
AGCAGCCGCGGUAAUUCCAGCUCCAAUAGCGUAUAUUAAAGUUGUUGCAGUUAAAAAGCUCGUAGUUGAAUUUCGGGGUNAGUAGGUUGGUCAUGCCNCUGGUAUGUACUGGUCUCACUGAUUCCUCCUUCCUGAUGAGCCGUAAUGCCAUUAAUUUGGUGUUGCGGGGAAUNUGGACUGUUACUUUGAAAAAAUUAGAGUGUUUAAAGCANGCUAACGCUUGAAUACAUUAGCAUGGAAUAAUGAAAUAGGACGUUCGAUCCUAUUUUGUUGGUUUCUAGGAUUGACGUAAUGAUUAAUAGGGAUAGUUGGGGGCAUUAGUAUUCAAUUGUCAGAGGUGAAAUUCUUGGAUUUAUUGAAGACUAACUACUGCGAAAGCAUUUGCCAAGGAUGUUUUCAUUAAUCAAGAACGAAAGUUAGGGGAUCGAAGACGAUCAGAUACCGUCGUAGUCUUAACCAUAAACUAUGCCGACUAGGGAUCGGAUGAUGUUAAUUUUUUAAUGACUCA